GUGUCUUGUCCUCCUGUUCACUGGUGGUCUCAGCCAAGGGAGGUUGUGAAUGGACUCUGGCUGCUCUUUCUUGCUCUUCUUGAUGCAGACUGACAGGAGAACAAAUCCCAGAGCCAGGUCUCUUAAGUCUAAUGACGUCUGCUUGCUGGCCUUAUGUUUAUUUUGGCGUUUCCUAUCUCAAGGUGGGAUUGCACACAUGCACACUAA
rnacentral:lncRNA from 1 species